AGGAGUCAGGUUGAGGAGGAGGAGGGAGGCUGAGAGAGAAAGAGAGAGGAGCAGAGAGGCAGGCUUUGCCUUUUCUGGUAGUUAAAGUCUCUGUAAGAACAAGCAGGAAUUCUUUGUGCUGCAAGAAGGGCUGAGAUAUAAACCAGACUGUAGAAGUUGAUGUAUGAAGAGAGGGCAGAGACUGCUGUUCAUGGACUAAACUUCAGCUACUGCUAAGUGAGAAAGUGAGGAGAAACUUUGGGGCAUCAUGGAUGAUGAGUUUGACCGUCGCAUGGAGCUGAGGAGGCAGAGGAGAGAGCAGAUGCGCCUGGAUGCUGACAAUUUGGGUUACACCAACGAUGAUGAGGAGGAGGAAGCUCGGGAGCGAAGGAGACGUGCGAGGGAGGAGAGGAAGAAGAUGAUGGCGGACUCAGGGGAGUCUGGAUCCGCUGAUGUGAUCGACACCAACAGUGUGACGGAGACCUCCACCAGCGAAACCAGAACCGAAGGUGUAGAUGACGACCAGGCUUUGCUGGACCGCCUGGCCAAGAGGGAGGAGCGCAGGCAGAGGAGAAUGAAGGAGGCCAUGGAGAGACAGAAGGAGUUUGACCCCACCGUGAACACCACCAAUGGUACAGACAGCACACUGGAAGAGCAGUCCUCCAUCAGCAGCAGCAGACAGAGGCAGACAGACGAAGAGGAGGAGAAGCCAGCUCAGGAGGAGGUGGCAGACACUGACAUGAACUCCUGGGGGAAAGAGGAAGAGGACAAGAAGGAAGAGGAGAAGGAAGCUGUCGAGGAAUCAAGAACGGAGGAGAUUGAGGAGAAGGCUGCAGAAACAGAAGUAGAGGUGGAUUCAGGAAAGAAAGAUGCUGAAGAGGAAGCUGCCCCUGAUGCUGACAAAGAGGAAGAAGAAAGGAAGAGGAAAGAGGAAGAAGAAGAGGAAAGACAGAAAAAGGAAAUGGAAGAAAAGCUGAGGAUAGAAGAGGAAGAGAAGCUCAAGAAAGAGGAAGAGGCAAGGCAGCUAAAGGAGGAGGAGGAAAGAAAGAAGAGGGAAGAGGAGGAAAAACAACAAAAGGAAAUGGAAGAGAGGCUGAGAAAGGAGGAAGAGGAACGAAAGAAGAGGGAAGAGGAGGAGAGACAACAAAAGGAAAUGGAGGAGCUGAGGCUGAGAAAAGAGGAAGAGGAAAAACAGAAGAAGGAGGCUGAGCAAAAAAAGAAGAAGGAGAUGGAGGAGAAGAAGAAGAGAGAAGAGGAGGACAAACGGAGGAAAGAAAUGGAAGAGAAGAAGAAGAAGGAGGAGGAGGAGAAGCAGAAGAAGAAAGAGCUGGAGGAGAAGAAGAAGAAAGAGGAGGAGGAGAAGCGGAAAAAGGAGGCUGAGGAGAAGAAGAAGAAAGAGGAGGAGGACAAGCGCAAAAAGAGAGAGAUGGAGGAGAAGAAGAAGAAAGAGGAGGAGGAGAAGCCGAAGAGAUUUGGCUUUAAGGAAAAGAACGAACCAACCAAACAGAACGGAGCUUUCAUUGAGAAUAAACUCAAGAAAACAGAGAAGACGUCAAGGGACAAUGCUCCCUCCACUGCGGCCGACGACAAGGAGCGACUGGAGGCCGAGCGCAAGCUGCAGGAGCUGAAGCGUCGACGAAACAAUGCAGAAAGCGAGGAGUUUGAGAAGAUGAAGCAGAAGCAGCAGGACGCAGAGGCCGAGCUGGAGGAGCUGAAGAGGAAGAGAGAGGAGAGGAGGAAGAUCAUGGAGGAGGAGGAGAAGCAGAAGAAACAGGAGCUGGAGGACAAGAAAGCCAAGGAACAGGAGGAGAGGAAGAGGAUGAGGGAGGAGAUAGAGAAAAGGAGGGCGGAGGCUGCAGAGAAGAAGAAGCAGAUGGAGGAAGAGUCUACAAAACCUGCCUUUGCCAUCAGUCCCAAAGGCUCCUCAAAGAUCGGGGAGAAGGCAGAAUUCUUGAGCAAAUCAGCCCAGAAAAACACCGGAGCCAGAGUGUCUCACACUCCAAUUGUCACCAAGAUAGGCAAUAGAAUGGACCAGUACACCUCUGCCAUCCAGGGAAACAAAGAAGUCAAAUCCCCCAAGUCUACAGUGGCGGAUAUUCCCACGGGAGGCACGCGCAGCAUCAAGAGCAUGUGGGAGAAAGGCAACGUCGGCAGCCCCUCUGAACGCCCAGCCCCUGCCAACAAGGACUUGGCUGGUAUCAAAGGAGGCGUGGCGGGACGUGUCAACAGUUGGAUGGCAAAGCCCGCAGAGGCAGAGAAGGCAGCAGAACCUGCACCAGCAGCAGCAUCACCAGCACCAGCACCAGCACCAGCACCAGCACCAGCAAAGCCAGCGGACGUGAAACCAGGUGACAUCGGUAGCAAACGUGGCAUGUGGGAAACCAAGAAGAGCCCUGCGCCUGCCAAGUCUACCUAAUAGACAGGUAAAUGAGGUGACUUUUGGAGCCAAGAGCAAGUUUGCUACUAAUGCAGGCACAAGACCCUAACCGUUAACAUCCUUAUUUAAAUGAAGCCUUACCUGACCAAUCACAAGGCUCUGCUACUGUAUGUGCAUCCAUUUCCUUUCAACAAACUCCCAUUUCCCGCGUUGAAGUUCACUCCAGAAUGAGGAAACGAUGAGCAGCAUCGAAGUCUUCCAGCGAUAUCUUUACAAGUAACUUUUGCACUGUAACCUAAUCCCUGAGUAUGUCAGACUUAGUAAGGGUUUACAGGACAAAGUACCACAUGUUAAAUGCUUCAUAAAUAAUGGAUUGUGUAGUAUCCAAUCUGGCUGUCCGGUCGCUUAAAUGUUAUAUUUUGCUUUCAAGCCACACUGACAUGUCUGCUCUUCUGGUGAUGUAUUGCCAUGUAGCUUACACCCAAUAAUAAGCCUUUGUGUUUUAUUUUCAUACACACUCACUGCUUUUUUUGGGAUGAUGGUCACUAUUUUGACUCCAUGUGAUAAACAAGGCUGUUUUAAUGCCCCUGUCACAGGUCGCAUUUGUGUUGUUAGAGCAUACUGCCAUGACGUUGGGUGAUUAACCUGUACAUGAAGGAGUCGGUACCACUUUCUCUUUAAAAAAAAUAAUAAGUCAGUUAUGAGUGCAGGCUCUAGUAAUGGCAACACCUGUUGGUCUAGAGGGAAAUAUCUCAUCAACGACUGGAUGCAUUGCUAUGGAAUUUGGUACAGGCAUACAUGAUCCCCAAAGGAUGAAGCCUAAUGACUUUAGUGUUCCCCUGACUUUUCGUCUAGUGCCACCAGCAGCUCACAUUUUUGACUUAUCCAAUGAGGUAUCUCUCUGUCUAUAUAAACUGGCAUAAAUCUCUGUACAGACAUCCAAGAUCCCUGAAGGUUGGUGCCUUAAUGACUUUAGUGAUCCUGUCACUUUUCAUCUAAUGUUCAUCUGGAUUUGAGUGAAAUAUCUCGACAACUAUCGAAUGUUAUGAAGCAUGUCUCCCUCAGCAUGAACUGUAAUGUCUUUGGCGAUCCCCUAACCUUUCAUUUAGCGUCACCAUCAGCUUAAAAAUGUGCAUAAUACUUUAGUGUAGACUUUGCUUCUUGCUUCUACUUUUAAUGAUUUAGAAAGACAGAUUCACCUCUUAACACCAGGAAAAGCUUUGCAGGACCAAAGUUCUUUUAUCAACAACUUAUUAACAUUCGCAACUGCAGAAACAACAACUCCUGUUGUUAACAAAUGCAAACUUAUGAGUUUAUAACCCCUUAUAACAGGUGCCUUAUAAUAAAGUGGUACACAUAAGUCCACCAGAUCAUAAUAUCAGUGCCCAGGACUGCAGCCAGACUAACGCAGUAUGCAGGCAGUUCAGCGUUUCUGUCAACAACACUUGGGUUUGUUACCUUUUUGACUCGUGGCACAUUAUUAUGUUAUAUAAGCACCAACCAAGUCUAUUCUUUAUGUGUGUAAGCGAGUAUCCACUCUAACAACUAUUCAGUGACCAAAAGCAAUUCUUCUUAAAGGUGCAGUGUGUAAGAUGGAGCUCUGUUUUCAGAAUAAGGCAGACACGGAAUAUAAUAUUCACAACUAUGUUUUCAUGCAUGUAUAAUCACCAGGAAAUAAGGAUUAUUAUGUGGGUAGGUGAUGUGAGGAGAUUGCAAUGCAGCGAUUACACCACGAGAUGCAACUAAAUCCUAUAUACUGGACCUUUAAUAAGCAGAUAACAGUCUUGCUCAUCUAUCAUCAGUUUACAUGCCACUGACUUUGCAUUGCAGCAGCAAUAAGGCUUUAUAUGCACUCUGUUUUAGCGAUGCCUGUAAUUAACUUUUAAAUUGUACCCUGGUGUUCCCGUCAGCAGUGCACAUGAGUUGAAUCCUGCCAAAAUGUAUUGUGAGUCUUUCAGUAUUGUUGCGGUGAAUUGUUUGUUUUUGCUUCAGCAAUAAAAAAAAAGAAGAAAAAAAGGAAAAA